rnacentral:piRNA from 1 species
UGUCUUGUUGUACUCUUCAAUGAAACGAU